rnacentral:tRNA from 4 species
GGAGACGUGGCCGAGUGGUCGAAGGCGCUCCCCUGCUAAGGGAGUAAACGGGAGACCGUUUCGAGGGUUCGAAUCCCUUCGUCUCCGCCA